GGCUGGGUUGAGGACACGGACGUGAAGGAGAGCACGCACGUCACGUCAAAAUCGUACGUCUCCAGUGCGAGCAGCCGCCAUUUUCUCAGCGUGAUAGAAGCGAGAAGCGAGUGAAAGACUAUGCUCCUGUCUUCAUUGUCCUCGCGCUGAGCGUUAAAGACACAGAAGCUGUUUGUGUGAGGAGUCACAGACCUGUGUGAGGAUGAGGAGGAGGUGUUCUUCUGAAGAGAGGGACAGACGGUUUAAGGAGAGUAAACUUCAGAAUAACAUCAAGUUAUCUUUAUUUUUACUAAGACUAAAAUGUUUUUUUUUUUUAGAUGUUGAAAUCCAGAGACAAGAUAACUUCAUUCUUUUGAGACUGAUAACUCAAACUAACUGGAGUUAAGGACACACAAGUCUGCUUGUGUGAGGAGGUGGUUUUCUCAGCUUCUUCUGAAGAGAGGGAAAGAUCGUUUAAG